AUAAAUGAUAGUCACUGAUGAUUUUGCUGCUGUCCAACUUCCAUAGAGAAGCAGAAAAGGUAUUUUUGGCGUUCAUGUUUUGGGAAAGAGGGAAGUCUGGGUCUCACUCCUAAGGACAGCGAAUGCUCUGAUUUCAUUUCCCUUCCCAACGCUGUAAGCCCAGACCUUUCUAUUCUGAUUCUCAAACUGGGAGGUGAAGAGGACCUUUUUUUCUGAAGAAAUAUCUAAACAACGCCAGAGAAACUGGAGGAAAAGUAAAACCUUCACAGCCAGCAGUUUGGUCUACGGAUUGCAAAAUGACCCAAAGGGCUGGUUUGGCCCACUUUCUCUGUUUUAUUGCACGGCUUUUCACUCAACUGUCCUAAGAGUGACUGUUUCAGGUUUAAGACGGAGCCCAGAGUCUUUGUGACUUUUCUCAGCCGAGAGGUUUGGGCUUCUUUGUUUUGGAUGGCUGUAUUGUCACCCGAAUGGAACUUACUUCUGGCUAAUUGAUGAAUGCGGGGCCAGAGGCCUCCCAAAGGAGCAGGUGCAAAUGGAAGGGAAUGUGCAGAGCCUCUGCAGCAACAGUCAAGCCAGCGGGGACUCCGCUCUCCGCCGCGCUGAUGGAAAACCUCUGCUGAAAAAGAGCCACGCUCCUGCCACAGUUUAAAGUCAAAAGACUAGCUGCUUGCUACUUUUUAUUUUUAACUCUGAGGGGCUCAAUUAGAGCCUCCAGAUGUCGUCCCCAAGGGUCCGAGUCUGAGCCCGAGGACUCCGGAGAGGCCAACAGCACAGCCUCCCGGGGCCGCAGCGCUGCUCCUUAAUUGGUUUGAAAAACUGCAGCUGGAUCCCGACAGCAGCCGCUCUCAGGCUGGGUCAGGAGCCCGGAGGGACAGGAGGAGGAGGACAGCUCGGCUUCCCGCCUCGCAAAGCCCCUCCACUUCCUUGACCGCAUCUCCCUCCCCUGCCCUCCCCUACGUCUGUGUCUGGGACCUCACCAGCAAACUCCUGAAAGCCUGGUCGCCUGCCGCUGCCCCUUGUCGUCUGUGAUGACACUUCAGAGGCAGCACUUCCUGCCUGUGCCUGCCGCCUGGUCAGCUGGAAGGACCCAGCCUGCAGCUCAAGACAGAGUAGAGCCCAUCAAACAUCGCGUGGUGGUAACAGAGAUGAUAAAGACUGUCAGGUCAGGCUGUGCUCCCUGCACUUUACGUGGAACACGAAGAUGCUGAGCUCCAUGGAGCCCAAAGAUGUGGCACAGGACGUGGCCAGGUGCUGGACAGGAGGGGAGAUGUUCUGUAGAAAUAAACACAAAUAUUAAUGGAAUACCGCUGUCUCCAAGCCCACGUGAGCCCACUGGUGGAUGAGAUACCACGAGGAAGAGAACCAAGGUGCCCACUUGACAGCCAGCUCGCCCCCAGAAGCAGAGCCCCCAGCAGCUGACCACACACGCAUGAAG